CAGUAGCCGCGCGGGAAUACGUAGGUGGCGAGCGUUGUCCGGAAUUAUUGGGCGUAAAGGGCUCGCAGGCGGUUUCUUAAGUCUGAUGUGAAAGCCCCCGGCUCAACCGGGGAGGGUCAUUGGAAACUGGGAAACUUGAGUGCAGAAGAGGAAAGUGGAAUUCCACGUGUAGCGGUGAAAUGCGUUGAGAUCGGAAAGAACACCAACGGCGAAAGCACUCUGCUGGGCCGACACUGACACCGAGAGACGAAAGCUAGGGGAGCAAAUGGGAUUAGAUACCCCAGUAGUCCCUGUCUCUUAU
rnacentral:rRNA from 1 species